rnacentral:rRNA from 1 species
GAUGAACGCUGGCGGCGUGCCUAAUACAUGCGAGUCGAGCGAACAGAUGAGGAGCUUGCUCCUCUGACGUUAGCGGCGGACGGGUGAGUAACACGUGGAUAACCUACCUAUAAGACUGGGAUAACUUCGGGAAACCGGAGCUAAUACCGGAUAAUAUAUUGAACCGCAUGGUUCAAUAGUGAAAGACGGUUUUGCUGUCACUUAUAGAUGGAUCCGCGCCGCAUUAGCUAGUUGGUAAGGUAACGGCUUACCAAGGCAACGAUGCGUAGCCGACCUGAGAGGGUGAUCGGCCACACUGGAACUGAGACACGGUCCAGACUCCUACGGGAGGCAGCAGUAGGGAAUCUUCCGCAAUGGGCGAAAGCUUGACGGAGCAACGCCGCGUGAGUGAUGAAGGUCUUCGGAUCGUAAAACUCUGUUAUUAGGGAAGAACAAAUGUGUAAGUAACUAUGCACGUCUUGACGGUACCUAAUCAGAAAGCCACGGCUAACUACGUG